GCCAGGCACAGUGGCGCAUGCCUGUAUUCCCAGCAGCUUGGGAGGCUGAGGCAGGAGGACCGCGAGUUCAAAGCCAGCCUCAGCAACUUAGCAAGGAACUUAAGCGAUUCAGUAAGACCCUGUCUCUA
rnacentral:sRNA from 1 species